UACGAAGGGGGCUAGCGUUGCUCGGAAUCACUGGGCGUAAAGGGGGCGUAGGCGGGUCUUUAAGUCAGGGGGGAAAUCCUGGAGCUCAACUCCAGAACUGCCUUUGAUACUGAAGAUCUUGAGUUCGGGAGAGGUGAGUGGAACUGCGAGUGUAGAGGUGAAAUUCGUAGAUAUUCGCAAGAACACCAGUGGCGAAGGCGGCUCACUGGCCCGAUACUGACGCUGAGGCACGAAAGCGUGGGGAGCAAACAGG
rnacentral:rRNA from 1 species